UCCUGUGACUAUGAAAUUGAUCCUGG
rnacentral:piRNA from 1 species